rnacentral:rRNA from 1 species
UUUAACUGAAGAGUUUGAUCAUGGCUCAGAUUGAACGCUGGCGGCAGGCUUAACACAUGCAAGUCGAGCGGGGGAAGGUAGCUUGCUACUGGACCUAGCGGCGGACGGGUGAGUAAUGCUUAGGAAUCUGCCUAUUAGUGGGGGACAACAUCUCGAAAGGGAUGCUAAUACCGCAUACGUCCUAC